rnacentral:rRNA from 1 species
GGGGAAUAUUGGGCAAUGGGGGAAACCCUGACCCAGCAACGCCGCGUGAAGGAAGAAGGCCUUCGGGUUGUAAACUUCUUUUACCAGGGGCGAAAGAAAUGACGGUACCUGGAGAAAAAGCAACGGCUAACUACGUGCCAGCAGCCGCGGUAAUACGUAGGUUGCGAGCGUUGUCCGGAUUUACUGGGUGUAAAGGGCGUGUAGGCGGAGAUGCAAGUUGGGAGUGAAAUCCAUGGGCUCAACCCAUGAACUGCUUCCAAAACUGUAUCCCUUGAGUAUCGGAGAGGCAAGCGGAAUUCCUAGUGUAGCGGUGAAAUGCGUAGAUAUUAGGAGGAACACCAGUGGCGAAGGCGGCUUGCUGGACGACAACUGACGCUGAGGCGCGAAAGCGUGGGGAGCAAACAGGAUUAGAUACCCUGGUAGUCCACGCUGUAAACGAUGAAUACUAGGUGUGGGAGGACUGACCCCUUCCGUGCCGCAGUUAACACAAUAAGUAUUCCACCUGGGGAGUACGACCGCAAGGUUGAAACUCAAAGGAAUUGACGGGGGCCCGCACAAGCAGUGGAUUAUGUGGUUUAAUUCGACGCAACGCGAAGAACCUUACCAGGACUUGACAUCCAACUAACGAAGUAGAGAUACAUUAGGUGCCCUUCGGGGAAAGUUGAGACAGGUGGUGCAUGGUUGUCGUCAGCUCGUGUCGUGAGAUGUUGGGUUAAGUCCCGCAACGAGCGCAACCCCUAUUGUUAGUUGCUACGAAAGAGCACUCUAGCGAGACUGCCGUUGACAAAACGGAGGAAGGCGGGGACGACGUCAAAUCAUCAUGCCCCUUAUGUCCUGGGCUACACACGUAAUACAAUGGUGGAAAACAGAGGGAAGCAAAGCCGCGAGGCAGAGCAAAACCCUAAAAGCCAUCUCAGUUCGGAUUGCAGGCUGCAACUCGCCUGCAUGAAGCUGGAAUUGCUAGUAAUCGCGGAUCAGAAUGCCGCGGUGAAUACGUUCCCG